UGAGKGUAAAUGARGGUAGGCGGAUGCGKGGGKUAGCGGUGAAUGCAUAAGAAUAUCACGCAGAACUCCCGAUUGCGAAGGCAGCUUACUAAGCUACAACUKACAYGAAGCACGAAAGCGKGGGGAUCAAACAGGAUUAGAWACCCUGGUAGUCCACSCAGUAAACGAUGAUACUAGCUGUUUGCGAUACACAGUAAGCGGCACAGCGAAAGCGUUAAGUAAUUCCACUGGGGAGUACGCCGGCAACGGKGAAACUCAAAGGAAUUGACGGGGGCCCGCACAAGCGGAGGAACAUGUGGUUUAAUUCGAUGAUACGCGAGGAACCUUACCCGGGUUUGAACGUAGGGAGACAGGGGUGGAAACAUCCUUUUCAGCAAUGACUGCCUACGAGGUGCUGCAUGGUUGUCGUCAGCUCGUGCCGUGAGGUGUCGGCUUAAGUGCCAUAACGAGCGCAACCCUUAUUUCCAGUUACUAACAGGUGAUGCUGAGGACUCUGGAGAGACUGCCAGCGUAAGCUGUGAGGAAGGUGGGGAUGACGUCAAAUCAGCACGGCCCUUACAUCCGGGGCGACACACGUGUUACAAUGGUAAGGACAAAGGGCAGCUACCGGGCGACCGGAUGCGAAUCUCUAAACCUUAUCUCAGUUCGGAUCGGAGUCUGCAACUCGACUCCGUGAAGCUGGAUUCGCUAGUAAUCGCGCAUCAGCCAUGGCGCGGCGAAUACGUUCCCGGGCCUUGUACACACCGCCCGUCAAGCCAUGGGAGCCGGGGGUACCUGAAGUUCGUAACCGCAAGGAUCGACCUAGGGUAAAACUGGUGACUGGGGCUAAGUCGUAACAAGGUAACC
rnacentral:rRNA from 1 species